AUUGAACGCUGGCGGCAGGCCUAACACAUGCAAGUCGAACGGUAACAGGAAACAGCUUGCUGUUUCGCUGACGAGUGGCGGACGGGUGAGUAAUGUCUGGGAAACUGCCUGAUGGAGGGGGAUAACUACUGGAAACGGUAGCUAAUACCGCAUAACGUCGCAAGACCAAAGAGGGGGACCUUCGGGCCUCUUGCCAUCGGAUGUGCCCAGAUGGGAUUAGCUAGUAGGUGGGGUAACGGCUCACCUAGGCGACGAUCCCUAGCUGGUCUGAGAGGAUGACCAGCCACACUGGAACUGAGACACGGUCCAGACUCCUACGGGAGGCAGCAGUGGGGAAUAUUGCACAAUGGGCGCAAGCCUGAUGCAGCCAUGCCGCGUGUAUGAAGAAGGCCUUCGGGUUGUAAAGUACUUUCAGCGGGGAGGAGGGGAGUAAAGUUAAUACCUUUGCUCAUUGACGUUACCCGCAGAAGAAGCACCGGCUAACUCCGUG
rnacentral:rRNA from 1 species